UGUAAUUUAAGACUUUUAGGUAUUAGAGACAACAUUAAAAGACCGAUAUGUAGGAUAAAGCAAACAUCGUAAUUCUCAUAAUUAUUAAUACCGUAUCUGUCUGUCUGUCUGUCUGUUCUUGUCUUGUAUUGUGAUUAGACUUUGGUGAUUUUUUUAUGACUAGAUUUAAAUAUAGUGACAUUGCAGUAUUAUACUUUAAGUACUAGUACUGCUUAAGUCUACACUAUAGGGACCAUCUUUACCUUGUUUUACGAUCUUUUACGGUAUUAAUGAUUCUUUAAAAGUAUUGUUGAAGACCAUCCGGCAACUAUCAAGAUGAAGAGUAGGAAUACAAAC
rnacentral:lncRNA from 1 species